UAAAAAGGAGAGCAAUGCUAUGGGGGUUAUCUCACAACCCCAGAUGCUGGAUAAGUUGAAGAAGGCAGAAUCGCUUUUGGAUGACAUUCAGGUCUGAAUGAUGAUUUAGAGAAGAAAGGACUAUUUAUUUCCUAAGGUAAACAGUCCAUUUCAUCUGUC
rnacentral:lncRNA from 1 species